rnacentral:rRNA from 1 species
AGGUCAAGUGAAGAAGGGCGCACGGUGAAUGCCUUGGCACUGGAAGCCGAUGAAGGACGCGACUAACCGCGAAAGUCUUCGGGGAGCCGUAAGUAGGCUUUGAUCCGGAGGUCUCCGAAUGGGGGAACCCAGCAUGUGCAGACAUGCUAUCCUUAAGUGAAUACAUAGCUUAAGGAGGGAACACGCAGUGAACUGAAACAUCUAAGUAGCUGCAGGAAGAGAAAGAAAUAUCGAUUUCCCAAGUAGCGGCGAGCGAACAGGAAAGAGCCCAAACCGGCAGAUUUAUCUGCCGGGGUUGUAGGACUGAGACAUGGCACUUCAGAGGAUAGCAGAAGCGUUUGGGAAAGCGCGCCAGAGAGGGUGAGAGCCCCGUAAGCGAAAUCCAAAGAAGGCCUAUCAGUAUCCUGAGUAGGGCGGGACACGUGAAAUCCC